CCCCUUCUUUCCCCUUUCUCACGAAAACUAAACCAGAGAGGAUUUUUCCUCCACCGAGCGCCAUGGCUGCCACACGAUUCUUGACCGUGUCGACGACUCCGUCCACCCCAAGCCUCGCCGCCGGUACCGAUCGAUGAGCCUCGUCGUCCUCUCCAUCCUCAUGCGAGGAAUCGAACCGGAACCUCUCCAAUCGCCCGCAAAAUCGCCAUUUCCCUCUCCGACGCCGGCGAGAUAAUCCUCGAUUCCGGCCGCUCUAGUCGAUCUCCGGCCUCCCCGACCUCUCCAUGACCUUCCUGGUGCUCGACCCCUGUGGUGCUUCGGUGAUCCCAUGAACUCCGUGCCGCCCGUUUCAGGUUCAGCGCGGCGGCGCGCACGCCCGACGCCCUCUCCCUCGUCCCGUCUAGGUCGUAACCACCAGGGCAGUGCUCCACGGGCGUUUGCGCCAUGGCUGUCCUGGCCGAGCUCCGCCACUUCUGCUUCAAAAGAACCCGCGGCCCAAUUCUUUCAACAACUGAAGCAUCAGCAUAGUGAUCCGUCUCCGCUGAUGGGCCAAGCCCCGAUUUGUUCUGGAUCAGAUCCGUCUCCGCUGAUGGGCCAAGCCCCGAUUUGUUCUGGAUCAGAUCCGUCUCCGCUGAUGGGCCAAGCCCCGAUCCACCGGCGCAGCACAUCACCCGCGCGGCCCGAAGCUAACCGUCGCCACCAGCAGGCCAGAUCGGGCCCUGGACAGUGCAGAUCCGUCUCCGCUGAUGGGCCAAGCCCCGAUUUGUUCUGGAUCAGAUCCGUCUCCGCUGAUGGGCCAAGCCCCGAUCCACCGGCGCAGCACAUCACCCGCGCGGCCCGAAGCUAACC